rnacentral:ncRNA from 2 species
GUAUUGAGCGAAAACUAUGAUACGCGGCUUUAUGAUGGGCGCCUAAUACCGCGGGGAGUUAGUGGCGCAACCGGUCGCUGCAUUU